rnacentral:rRNA from 1 species
AGUGAACGCUGGCGGCAGGCCUAACACAUGCAAGUCGAACGGCAGCACAGGAGAGCUUGCUCUCUGGGUGGCGAGUGGCGGACGGGUGAGGAAUACAUCGGAAUCUACCUUUUCGUGGGGGAUAACGUAGGGAAACUUAAGCUAAUACCGCAUACGACCUUAGGGUGAAAGAGGAGGACCUUCGGGCAUCGCGCGGAUAGAUGAGCCGAUGUCGGAUUAGCUAGUUGGCGGGGUAAAGGCCCACCAAGGCGACGAUCCGUAGCUGGUCUGAGAGGAUGAUCAGCCACACUGGAACUGAGACACGGUCCAGACUCCUACGGGAGGCAGCAGUGGGGAAUAUUGGACAAUGGGCGCAAGCCUGAUCCAGCCAUGCCGCGUGGGUGAAGAAGGCCUUCGGGUUGUAAAGCCCUUUUGUUGGGAAAGAAAAGCAGUCGGUUAAUACCCGAUUGUUCUGACGGUACCCAAAGAAUAAGCACCGGCUAACUUCGUGCCAGCAGCCGCCGUAA